rnacentral:rRNA from 1 species
AGGACGAACGCUGGCGGCGUGCUUAACACAUGCAAGUCGAGCGAGGCCCCUCCUUCGGGAGGGUGUCCUAGCGGCGAACGGGUGAGUAACACGUGGGCAACCUGCCCUCAGCUCUGGGAUAACUCCGGGAAACCGGGGCUAAUACCGGAUACGACCUCCACGGGCAUCUGCGGAGGUGGAAAGUUUUUCGGCUGAGGAUGGGCCCGCGGCCUAUCAGCUAGUUGGUGGGGUGAUAGCCCACCAAGGCGACGACGGGGUA